GGGAGAGUACUAUUCAGAUGCAGACCGCAAGUUCAGAGCGGUUUGCAUCUAGGGUACGUUUUCGAACGUAUCCUCCGACUAAGUGUAUUCGUAUACUUAGUGCCUUGUGCCUGCUUCGGCAGGCAUGACCCAAAUGUGCCUUUCGGGGCACAUUUCCGGUCAUCCAAGUUCGCUUGGGUGAUGCGGGCGUAUAGGUUCGUCUAUACGUCCGCGUUUUCCGAGAAGAGGUAACUCGGGAAACCGGUCCACGUGACAAAGGUAGAGUUACGUGGAGGGAGCAGCUGCAAAGGGAUAAUGCAGUUGCUGGCUGGAUGCCAGAACUCACGACUGGCAUCUACGGGGAUGGUGCUCUCCCAAUUCUCCAUUUACCGCCGAAUCGACCCCAACGUGAGAGGGGUCGGUUCCCCGAGCAUAGACCAAUAUCCCAGGUUUAUGCUCCCCAACGCUGGACGAACUACCUACGUCUAGCGUUCCGGCAAAUGAGUCAAUACCUCAGACUUAUUUGCGGUGCCUGAGCCUAAACUGAACAUGGGUUCAGGCAUCUUGGCUCCAGUUCGCUGGAGCCGACGGUAGCGCUGCGUUCGCGCAGUGCUAGGGAGCAUCCGUUUUCGAGCGGAUGCUGGGCGGUUGCCUGUUCGCAGGCAAUCGGGCCUACUCAUGAUUCGUCAUGAGUGGUGACAGCGUGAUGUUCGCAUUACGCUGUCGGGUAGAUGGAGAAUU
rnacentral:misc_RNA from 1 species